rnacentral:rRNA from 1 species
AACGAACGCUGGCGGCAUGCCUAACACAUGCAAGUCGAACGAGACCUUCGGGUCUAGUGGCGCACGGGUGCGUGACGCGUGGGAAUCUGCCCUUGGGUUCGGAAUAACAGUUGGAAACGACUGCUAAUACCGGAUGAUGACGUAAGUCCAAAGAUUUAUCGCCCAGGGAUGAGCCCGCGUAGGAUUAGCUAGUUGGUGGGGUAAAGGCCUACCAAGGCGACGAUCCUUAGCUGGUCUGAGAGGAUGAUCAGCCACACUGGGACUGAGACACGGCCCAGACUCCUACGGGAGGCAGCAGUGGGGAAUAUUGGACAAUGGGCGAAAGCCUGAUCCAGCAAUGCCGCGUGAGUGAUGAAGGCCUUAGGGUUGUAAAACUCUUUUACCCGGGAUGAUAAUGACAGUACCGGGAGAAUAAGCCCCGGCUAACUCCGUG